ACUACGGGGGGCAGCAGUGAGGAAUAUUGGUCAAUGGGCGGAAGCCUGAACCAGCCAAGUAGCGUGCAGGAUGACGGCCCUACGGGUUGUAAACUGCUUUUAUACGGGAAUAACGCGCCUUACGUGUAGGGCUUUGCAUGUACCGUAUGAAUAAGGACCGGCUAAUUCCGUGCCAGCAGCCGCGGGAAUACGGAAGGUCCGGGCGUUAUCCGGAUUUAUUGGGUUUAAAGGGGGCGUAGGCCGCAUGUCAAGCGUGCUGUGAAAUGUCCGGGCUCAACCCGGGCCUUGCAGCGCGAACUGGCGUGCUUGAGUCCGCGGAAAGCAGGCGGAAUUCGUGGUGGAGCGGUGAAAUGCUUAGAUAUGACGAAGAACCCCGAUUGCGAAGGCAGCUUGCUGCAGCGGAACUGACGCUGAUGCUCGAAAGCGCGGGUAUCGAACAGGAUUAGAUACCCUAGUAGUC
rnacentral:rRNA from 1 species